GGACUUCUACGUUCUGUCCUCCUGCAGCCAUCUAAAAUCAGCCAGAAAGGUUUAGGAUCCCAUUUCCUGUUCUUGCAUCGGCUGUCCAAGCUGCUGUUCCUCUCUCCGCAGUAAGAGGGUGUUUCUCUCCCUGUUCAAGAGGAGCACCAACACUUGAGGACAGUAUCAUCCCUAGACCUUGGCAAGAGAGACCACUGAGUGAGGCAUCCAUGGAACCCAAGGAAGAGGCCUACGAAGAACCUGCAGUCACCUUCUAGACCAUUCUCCCUCACCAAACUGUCCCCUCCAGAGAGCUGAGGACUGGAUCUUCCCAUGCUGACACCUCCAGUGGGAAAGAAAAUUCUAGAUUCAGCUCUGGGUGUCCAAGUCAUUAUGAAGGCAUAUUUGUCAAGGUGGAAGAAAAGGACAUAUUCUAUUUAGCAGUUUAAAGAAGUAAUGCAUGACUCUGAUUUGCGGCUGCAGGAUAAAUCCGAACUAUUUCAGGGAGAUGUCAUGGAGAGCUCAUCUCUCAGCAUCAAAGUUGCCUCUCCUGACUUUUGAAUUUUAAGUGUUCUGUGUGGAAGAAAAAUGGAGACAACAAAUUUCUAUGCAUGGAUUCAAAGAAUCCUCGUAAUAUACAGACUACAUUCUCC
rnacentral:lncRNA from 1 species